rnacentral:rRNA from 1 species
UGGGGAAUAUUUCACAAUGGGCGCAAGCCUGAUGCAGCAACGCCGCGUGAACGAUGAAGGUCUUCGGAUCGUAAAGUUCUGUUGCAUGGGAAGAUAAUGACGGUACCCUGUGAGGAAGCCACGGCUAACUACGUGCCAGCAGCCGCGGUAAUACGUAGGUGGCAAGCGUUGUCCGGAAUUAUUGGGCGUAAAGCGCGCGCAGGUGGUUUAGAAAGUCUGAUGUGAAAGCCCACGGCUCAACCGUGGAGGGUCAUUGGAAACUAAUAAACUUGAGUGCAGGAGAGAAAAGUGGAAUUCCUAGUGUAGCGGUGAAAUGCGUAGAGAUUAGGAGGAACACCGGUGGCGAAAGCGGCUUUUUGGCCUGCAACUGACACUGAGGCGCGAAAGCGUGGGGAGCAAACAGG